GACGAACGCUGGCGGCGUGCUUAACACAUGCAAGUCGAACGGUAAGGCCCUUCGGGGUACACGAGUGGCGAACGGGUGAGUAACACGUGGGUGAUCUGCCCUGCACUUCGGGAUAAGCCUGGGAAACUGGGUCUAAUACCGGAUAGGGCCACUGCCUGCAUGGGUGGUGGUGGAAAGCUUUUGCGGUGUGGGAUGGGCCCGCGGCCUAUCAGCUUGUUGGUGGGGUGAUGGCCUGCCAAGGCGACGACGGGUAGCCGGCCUGAGAGGGUGACCGGCCACACUGGGACUGAGAUACGGCCCAGACUCCUACGGGAGGCAGCAGUGGGGAAUAUUGCACAAUGGGCGCAAGCCUGAUGCAGCGACGCCGCGUGAGGGAUGACGGCCUUCGGGUUGUAGACCUCUUUCAGCACCGACGAAGCGCAAGUGACGGUAGGUGCAGAAGAAGGACCGGCCAACUACGUGCCAGCCGCCGCCGUAA
rnacentral:rRNA from 1 species